ensembl:snRNA U2 U2 spliceosomal RNA
AUAGCUUCUUGGCCUUUUGGCUAAGAUCAAGUGAAUUAUAUUUUCAUACCUUGGAGAAUAUAAUCAGUGGUUAUGUAUCAAUUAUCAAUUGAUACAGUUAUCAAUUAUAUACAAUCAAU